GAGUUUGAUUCUGGCUCAGAGUGAACGCUGGCGGCGUGCCUAAUACAUGCAAGUCGAACGGAGAUUAAAGUAAGCUUGCUUAUUUUAAUCUUAGUGGCGCACGGGUGAGUAAUGUAUAGCUAAUCUGCCCUACACUAGAGGACAACAGUUGGAAACGACUGCUAAUACUCUAUACUCCUUCUUUACAUAAGUUAAGUCGGGAAAGUUUUUCGGUGUAGGAUGAGGCUAUAUCGUAUCAGCUAGUUGGUGAGGUAAUGGCUCACCAAGGCUAUGACGCGUAACUGGUCUGAGAGGAUGAUCAGUCACACUGGAACUGAGACACGGUCCAGACUCCUACGGGAGGCAGCAGUAGGGAAUAUUGCUCAAUGGGGGAAACCCUGAAGCAGCAACGCCGCGUGGAGGAUGACACUUUUCGGAGCGUAAACUCCUUUUCUUGGGAAAGAAUUAUGACG
rnacentral:rRNA from 1 species